GACGAACCGUGCGAACGUUGUUCGGAAUCACUGGGCUUAAAGGGCGCGUAGGCGGCCUGCAUGGUCGGGGGUGAAAUCCCGCAGCUCAACUGCGGAAGUGCCUUCGAUACCGGCGGGCUCGAGGAAGGUAGGGGUGCGCGGAACUUCUGGUGGAGCGGUGAAAUGCGUUGAUAUCAGAAGGAACGCCGGCGGCGAAAGCGGCGCACUGGACCUUUUCUGACGCUGAUGCGCGAAAGCCAGGGGAGCAAACGGG
rnacentral:rRNA from 1 species